AACUGAGACACGGUCCAGACACCUACGGGUGGCAGCAGUCGAGAAUCAUUCACAAUGGGGGCAACCCUGAUGGUGCGACGCCGCGUGGGGGAAUGAAGGUCUUCGGAUUGUAAACCCCUGUCAUGUGGGAGCAAAUUAAAAAGAUAGUACCACAAGAGGAAGAGACGGCUAACUCUGUGCCAGCAGCCGCGGUAAUACAGAGGUCUCAAGCGUUGUUCGGAAUCACUGGGCGUAAAGCGUGCGUAGGCUGUUUCGUAAGUCGUGUGUGAAAGGCAGGGGCUCAACCCCUGGAUUGCACAUGAUACUGCGAGACUAGAGUAAUGGAGGGGGAACCGGAAUUCUCGGUGUAGCAGUGAAAUGCGUAGAUAUCGAGAGGAACACUCGUGGCGAAGGCGGGUUCCUGGACAUUAACUGACGCUGAGGCACGAAGGCCAGGGGAGCGAAAGGGAUUAGAUACCCCUGUAGUCCUGGCAGUAAACGGUGCACGCUUGGUGUGCGGGGAAUCGACCCCCUGCGUGCCGGAGCUAACGCGUUAAGCGUGCCGCCUGGGGAGUACGGUCGCAAGAUUAAAACUCAAAGAAAUUGACGGGGACCCGCACAAGCGGUGGAGUAUGUGGCUUAAUUCGAUGCAACGCGAAGAACCUUACCUGGGCUUGACAUGUAAUGAACAACAUGUGAAAGCAUGCGACUCUUCGGAGGCGUUACACAGGUGCUGCAUGGCCGUCGUCAGCUCGUGUCGUGAGAUGUUUGGUUAAGUCCAGCAACGAGCGCAACCCCUGUUGCCAGUUACCAUCGAGUAAUGUCGGGGACUCUGGCGAGACUGCCCAGAUCAACUGGGAGGAAGGUGGGGACGACGUCAGGUCAGUAUGGCCCUUAUGCCCAGGGCUGCACACGUACUACAAUGCCCAGUACAGAGGGGGCCGAAGCCGCGAGGCGGAGGAAAUCCUGAAAACUGGGCCCAGUUCGGACUGUAGGCUGCAACCCGCCUACACGAAGUCGGAAUCGCUAGUAAUGGCGCAUCAGCUACGGCGCCGUGAAUACGUUCCCGGGUCUUGUACACACCGCCCGUCACAUCAUGGAAGCCGGUCGCACCCGAAGUAUCUGAAGCCAACCGCAAGGAGGCAGGGUCCUAAGGUGAGACUGGUAACUGGGAUGAAGUCGUAACAAGGUAGCCGUAGGGGAACCUGCGGCUG
rnacentral:rRNA from 1 species